rnacentral:rRNA from 1 species
UACGUAGGUGGCAAGCGUUGUCCGGAUUUAUUGAGUUUAAAGGGUGCGUAGGCGGCCUUGUAAGUCAGUGGUGAAAUACUCUAGCUUAACUAGAGGGGUGCCAAUGAUACUGCAGGGCUUGAGUACAGAUGAGGUAGGCGGAAUUGACGGUGUAGCGGUGAAAUGCAUAGAUAUCGUCAAGAACACCUAUAGCGAAGGCAGCAUACUGGGCUGUAACUGACGCUGAGGCACGAAAGUGUGGGGAUCAAACAGG